AGAGUAAACCACCUUAAAGAUUUUAUGUUUCGAACCUCUUAAAUCACUUGACUAAAAGCCUUCCCUUACCCAAAUGACUUGGACUGACUGACCAUUUGCAAGAAUUCACUAGAUGUUUUGUGCUUAAUGAAUGUGAGAGUUGGUUGAUUUGAAUGUGUGAAUGCUUGAUGAUGAGUGUAGGGGCAAAAGGAGUUGAGAUAGGCCUAGAGAAGCUAGAGUGUAAUAAGAGAGUGUGCUAAUUGUGUUUGCUAGUUGUGUUUCUUUUGGCUAUGAGCUCCCACCUUAAAACCUCUCUCCCUAUGAGUUCUAGAAAGUUCACUUGU
rnacentral:lncRNA from 1 species